rnacentral:rRNA from 1 species
CCUACGGGAGGCAGCAGUGGGGAAUCUUGCGCAAUGGGCGAAAGCCUGACGCAGCAACGCCGCGUGCGGGAAGAAGGCUUUCGGGCUGUAAACCGCUUUCAGCAGGAACGAAAAUGACGGUACCUGCAGAAGAAGGAGCGGCCAACUAUGUGCCAGCAGCCGCGGUGAUACAUAGGCUUCAAGCGUUGUCCGGAUUUAUUGGGCGUAAAGAGUUCGUAGGCGGUUUUUCGCGUCGGAUGUGAAAACUCAGGGCUCAACCCUGAGCCUGCAUUCGAUACGGGAAGACUCGAGGACGGCAGGGGAGACUGGAACUUCUGGUGUAGCGGUGGAAUGCGCAGAUAUCAGAAAGAACACCAAUGGCGAAGGCAGGUCUCUGGGCCGAUCCUGACGCUGAGGAACGAAAGCGUGGGGAGCAAACAGGAUUAGAUACCCUGGUAGUCCACGCCGUAAACUAUGGACGCUAGGUGUGGGGGACAUUCCACGUUCUCUGCGCCGCAGCUAACGCAUUAAGCGUCCCGCCUGGGGAGUACGACCGCAAGGUUAAAACUCAAAGGAAUUGACGG